GUCCCUGCCCUUUGUACACACCGCCCGUCGCUACUACCGAUUGAAUGGUUUAGUGAGAUCUUCGGAUUGGGGCCGGCGCGGUCGGCAACGGCCGCGGCGGAUCUCGAGAAGUUGCUCAAAUUUGAUCAUUUAGAGGAAGUAAAAGUCGUAACAAGGUUUCCGUAGGUGAACCUGCGGAAGGAUCAUUAGUGGGAGCUCUUCGGAGCCGUUCCCCGUGCACUCGGAUCGGCAGGGAGGGUGUAGACUGGGGCCGCCGUGGUGCCUUUCGACUCCCGUCGAGCAGUCUGCGCCGCAACUCUCCUGGCCAGGGGUUUGCCUGGGCCCUCGGUUGGUUAGGGGGGAGGCAAUUAAAGUGUUGGGUUCCUCCCUGCAGUUCACACUCCGAGGGUGUGGAUCUGCGGGGCUUCUCCCGCCCCGAACUGUUUUUGUCUUUGUUUUGGGUGGCGGUGGUAACGUUUUAAAAUGGCUAAGCCAUGACAACUUCUAACGGUGGACACCUCGGCUCGUGUACCGAUGAAGAGCGCAGCGAGCUGCGAUACCUAGUGUGAAUUGCAGAAUUCAGUGAAUCAUUGAGUCCUUGAACGCAAAUGGCGCUUUCGGUAAAGCCCGGAGCACGUCUGUCUGAGCGUCCCCUUCCAUGCGAUGGUGGUGUCCUGCGGCACGUUUGUACAUUACAGUUGGGGUGGUCGCCUAUACUAGUGCGUUGGGCGUCCCCUGAAGUGAGCGUUAGGUGUGUGGAACCUGCCAGCUGGCAGCCCGCGUCACACGGGUUUGCUUGCUGCUUUGGUUCUUUGUGGCGCUGCUGCCUCGAGAGGUUGUGUGCGUGUGGACCUCAGAUCAGUCGAGAUUACCCGCUGAAUUUAAGCAUAUCAAUAAGCGGAGGAAAAGAAACUAACCAGG
rnacentral:rRNA from 1 species